CUAGCCUUUAUAUACAUAUCUAUGAUAUAAACAACAAACGCGAUGUGCCGGGAGCUCUGUGUGAUAUCAACACAGUGUGCUGUCAGUUGAAAGAUGGAAGUCCCCAGACUGAAGAAACGACCUUGGCGCUUCUGUGAACAUUGCAACACUGAACUGUGUCAUACACCACAGAAAGCGCUAUUUCAAAAAUGGAGUUUGGGAGAAAAAAUCCAAAAGGACUACGUCAGGUCAGAUAACGUACAGAGCCUGCUGCUAUCCAGUCAUGAACCCGCUGUGAGUGAUGUCCUGUCAUGUGUAAAGACCCGGAGGAUAACUUUACUGGAGUUAGAGAGAUUGGUGAAAGUGAAAUGCAAUCCGAGGACCCAGAAAAAAAGUGAUUGAAGAAUUUGAAGAAAUGCACCCAGCGAAUUGCAGUUAAGACAACGACAAAACAGCAGAUGAUCAAAGCAUUCAUCUUUUCCUGGACGUCUCCUGUUGUGUGGAUGACUAUGUGGAUGAAGAGGGGGAAAUCCUUGCUGAGGAGCAGAGUGAAGCCUAUCCUCACAUACAAGAUGGGGAGGAGCAUGGAAGUGAUCAGUCCAGAAGUGAAAAAACAGAACACUUGUUGAUGAAACUUUUGGCCAUGAUGAAAUUGACUGGUAUCCUCCGUGACGACUUCUUAGGGGCUGUUUACACUUGGUAUUAAGAUGUGUUUUCAUCGAUCGGAUCACAAGUGGACGAGAGAGACACAUGACGUUUACACCUGGUAUUUAAAUCCGUCUCUUUUGUCCACUUUUGACCGCUUCUGUGCUGAAUACUAUGAGGGGGUGGUCUGUGAGACGGUGGGCGAGUCUCUCUGCUGUCAUUCAAACCCGAGCGGGAGUAAUUAUGAGUUUAUAUGGACGCAAACUAAUAUAAUGUCGGAGUGCACUGCUUGUUUAGCAAGUAAACAUGCUGCACAGUGUUUUGUACAUGAGUAUGUAAGAGCUUUCUUUGAAUUUUCAGCGCAAUUGAUGAAAUAGGAUCGCGCAACUUUCACACGCUUUCAAAACGAAACUACGGAGAUCCUCCGCUUUAGUUUUAUCAAUGAAAGGCUAAAAAUAGCGCUGUUCACCGAAUGUUCACGCCAGAAGUAAAAAAAGACGUAAAACUUGUGUUUAAUACCUCAGAUUAGAUAAAUGGGCGGAGAGAAGGCGGUCGCGUGUGGCUGUUCGAACGCAUUCAACCACAUGUGCGUUCCGCAGCUCCAAAGCGAUCCGAUCGAAAGUGGUUUUGACCACCUCUGGAUGUGGUUGAAAGUGGUCGAAAG